rnacentral:lncRNA from 1 species
UCUCACCUAACUUCCUCAUCUUCUCCAACAUUAAAUCAAUUCCAAGUUACCCACCACAAGAGUUUAACAAUUCCACCAUUACUACUGACUGUCCCUAAAGCAAGUGGCAAAAAAUUUAGUGAUUAGUAUCCGAGACACAAGUUCGAAUCCUAGCUGAUUCACAUUUCUAGUUAAGUUUAUUUCUAAAUGAAAUAAACGAAGUGGAUAACGUGCUACCUAUCUUUAAAAAAAAAAACAAAAAAAAAAUUAAUUUUACCACUAAAUUCAGUUCAUAUAUAUCAGUAAAUCC